UCUAGGGUUCCUCUCAUCGUCUUUUUCUUUCUGUAAUUAGGUGGACUGAAUGGAAUUUCUAGACGUCUUGAGGAAUCUCUUUAGCUAGCUCCGUUCGUGUCGUUUUGUCUCGGAUUCUUCUCCUUAGGACCGUUACAGGAUUCAUUGAUUCAACGCCAUUGAAGACCUUCUUUAUUCCUUAGCCCCACUCCAAUCAUAAUUACUCAUUAAAUGCAUUUUACCUCUCUUCGAGGCGGUGGCGAUCCAGUUAUAAAAAGGUAAGCCUUGAACAUCAUCCUCACAAAUCCUCAUCCAGUUAUAAAACGGUAAAACUAGAAACUCUUUUUUUCCAGUAGAAUGGCAAACUCAUCGAUUCUCCUCGCUGAGGCUGACUGGCCGAUGUUCUUUAAAGCAUUUGCCUGCUGAGAUCGAGAUCUAUUACUACUUCGGCUUUCUUUUCCGGACUGAUUAGAAAAAGUAAGAGGUUACUUCUUUAUUUCAGUGGGGUUUCGUUGAGAUAAUUUGUUAUUAAUCUUGAUGUCUUCAUAUUUCCAAAGUGUUUUGCUUUUUCUCCUUUAGGCCAAAUCUUGCUUUUCAGCUAGCAAUUGGUUACCUCAACAGCUUAAACAAGAGAACCUUUUUUAUAUAUAUAGAUUCUUUGAGCUAUGAGAAGCAUGGUGAUCUUGCUGAGAUUAGUGGUACUCAGUCCGUCCUUGGGCCAUUCUGCGACACUGCGUCAUGGUGCGAUGGGCAGAUACGUUUUGUGAUAAUUGUUAUAAACACUAGAAACUCUUGAUUCAGCUUUUGUUUUGGUUAUUCGAGGUGUCAUUUUGUGGGUGCAGGAAAAACUUCUGAAUCUCUUGCUUCGUAACUACCUGCACUACAUCCUUUAUGACCAAGUAGAGAAGUUGAGAUCAAAAGCACCAAGAUUUGAGGCACAUUCUAACCAACAUGUUUAUCUUUUAGUAGUUAUUCUUUCAUACCAAUUCGUUAGUGUAACUUUCUAGAUUAUAGAUAUAUCGUUUAUAUGAUCUCUUACUUAUGCUAACCUUUCUACAGUCAAUUUUUUCUUCAAAUACGGUGUUUAUAUGUAAGACCAUUGGGUUUGAUUUUUUUCUCUUAUCAGUACUAGCUGUUUUUGUUUCAUGGGACAUCUUCAACUAUUGUAUCUAAUAUGAUAUUCACAUACGCACUCCGGUCAUGCUGGUCGUACCAUAUAUAUGUGUAUAUUUAUAUCUAAAAUGCAAAAAGGUCGAUUGAAUACUGAUAAAACAGGUCUGAUGUGAGAAAAAGACAUGUAUAUGGCAGAUGAAGGGAACCUAAAAGUGAGAAGAGACAAGAGAUACACGAACGUGUUGAAUUUAUAGCUGCUGUCUUUUCAGUUUUCACCAGAAGAAUAGUGUAAGCAUCAAUGAGGAAUCUUAUUCUCCAGCAAAGAAGCUUAAAAAAGGUCCAGACUGCACGAGGUCGUAUUUUAAAUUUACAGCCAUUGCCUGAUUUAUAUGUUCUAGAUGUAAAUUUUUCUGUGGUCGUUUAUUUUAAAAGUUUGUUACUUAGUUUGGUUUUUGUCUUAUUUUUUCAUUUGUAAAUGUUUUCCCAUAAAUUGGUGAGGCGGACAAUAGCACUUUGUUCUUUUGGUUAAUUUUCAGUAAAUAUACUCUUUUUCAUGAUUUCUAUUUAAAUAUUUUGGAUGGGCAAACAUAAACUUAUUUGUCUUUUAGUUUCGAUCAAGAGAAGAGUAGUACAUUCGAUAUAGUAUUUCUGAAUAUUUGAUUUUAGUGAGUUUGUAGAUGAUUUUGAAUGAAUUAGAAAAGUAGUGAUUUAGUUAAAAUACUAAACAAAAUCAUCUGAUUUAAAAUUUGUUUUUUUAAUAAAAAAGUUGUACCAAAAUACUUUAGAAUCAUCAAAAUCUCAAAAAUCCAUUAGUUAAACUAUUUUUAAUAAUAUAAAUUUUAAAAUAAAAUAUAAAAUUCUAAAUUUAAUAACACAAUUUGUAUAAAAAGUUAAAACUCAUGUUAGGAAAAAAUAUAAACAUUUUUCUUAAUAAAAAUUAUUUCAAAUAUAUUUGUAAACAUUAACUAUCUAUAUUAAAUCUUUAAUAUAAUUAAAUGGCAAACAGAAGAAGAUAAUACCAGUGAGUUUAAGAAACAAACGUUUAAGAACAGAAAUUAAUUCAUAAUUUGUGUGUUAUAGAAAUUUCAUUCGGCUUAUUCAUAAUAAAGGUAGAACCAACUUUUUAAAAUGUAAAACAAUUGCAUAUUCAUGAAAAUCUUAAUGGUAAGAUGAAUCAUAUGAUUUCUGGUAAAAUUAACAAAAUAUAAAUAAUGAAAGCUAAUAUUAUUUUAAGCCUAGCAAAAUUUAAAUUAUUAGAUGGAAACUAAAAAUAAAAAUAUCUUAUAUUGAUUGUUGUAUUUGUAAAGUAACAAACCAAGACCAAAAAAUUUUGGACGAAAAAAUAAUACUCAUUAGACCCACAAACCACGUACUUCCAAGCCCAACACAAAGAAAUCCUAAUUUAACCAACCAACAUGUAUAUGCAUAACCAAUAACAUUUAAUCAAGAAACCCACAUAAACCUCACCCAAACUUAUAUGUAGUAUUUUAUAUGCUCCGAACUCUUAAAACAAUACACAGUCACCCCUGUAUAACGUACAUGAUCUAAAUAAUAAUAAACCAUCUACGCCCUAACAUACAUUAAAACAUCAAAGUUGUUGUUGACAAAAAAAAACAUCAAAGUUGUUAUAAUCUUACUUUCAAAUCUUAACAUAAAAAUACAACAUAGUUAUAUACAUUAUACGGCCAUCAAAUUGUAUAUGAAUAAUAACAUGUUUAAAUCAUUGGUCAAACUUCUUUUUAAAAAAUUGUAUGUAUAUUAAACCAAAAUU